GAAUCGCCCCAAGGUGGCCGCUCUCAGCCCCUCGGCGACCUCCCGGGCCGCACGCUCCAGGUCAAGGCCCACAAGCCCCCGGCGGCCGGCCUCCGAGCCCCGCUUCCAGGCCCUUCCGGGGGCCGGCGCCCUUUGCCCCCGGAAGUGGGCGGGAGAGGAAGCGGCUGGUGAUGCUGGAACAAACAUGGCCGCCCCGGCGCCAGUCGGCCCCUCGGGCUCCCGCCGUCCUCCGCUGGCCGCCGGCCUCCGGCUGCUGCCGCUGCUGGGGCUGCUGCAGCUGCUGGCCCAGCCCGGCCUGGGCCGCGUCCACCACCUGGCGCUCAAGGACGAUGUGAGGCAUAAGGUUCAUCUGAACACCUUUGGAUUCUUCAAGGACGGGUACAUGGUGGUUAAUGUCAGUAGCCUUUCAGUGAAUGAACCUGAAGGAGCCACAGACAAGGACACAACCAUUGGAUUCAGCCUGGACCGUACAAAGAAUGACGGGUUUUCUUCCUACCUGGAUGAAGAUGUGAAUUACUGUAUUUUAAAAAAAAAGUCCAUCUCCGUCACCCUUCUAAUCCUAGACAUCUCCAGAAGCGAGGUGAGAGUGAGAUCUCCACCAGACGCUGGUACCCAGCUACCAAAGAUCAUCUUCAGCAGGGAUGAGAAAGUCCUUGGCCAGAGCCAGGAGCCUGGUGUUGACCCUGUUCCAGCGGGCAACCAGACUCAGCAGAAACAAGACGGUGGAAAGUCUAAAAGAAGCACGGUAGAUUCCAAGGCCACGGGAGAAAAAUCCUUUUCUGUUCACAACAGCGAUGGGGCAGUUUCUUUUCAGUUUUUCUUUAACAUCAGCACCGAUGACCAAGAAGGCCUCUACAGUCUUUAUUUUCACAAAUGCUCCGGGAACGAAUUGCGGUCUAGCGACGAGCUCUCCUUCAGCCUUGAUAUUGAGAUCACAGAGAAGAACCCUGACAGCUACCUCUCGGCAGGAGAGAUCCCUCUCCCUAAAUUAUACAUCUCUAUGGCCUUUUUCUUUUUCCUUUCUGGGACCAUCUGGAUUCACAUCCUUCGAAAACGACGGAAUGACGUAUUUAAAAUUCACUGGUUGAUGGCAGCCCUUCCUUUCACCAAGUCUCUUUCCCUGGUGUUCCACGCGAUCGACUACCAUUACAUCUCCUCCCAGGGCUUUCCGAUCGAGGGUUGGGCUGUCGUGUACUACAUCACUCACCUUUUGAAGGGGGCACUGCUGUUCAUCACCAUCGCGCUCAUCGGCACCGGCUGGGCUUUCAUUAAGCACAUCCUCUCCGACAAAGACAAGAAGAUCUUCAUGAUCGUCAUCCCGCUGCAGGUUCUGGCGAACGUGGCCUACAUCAUCAUAGAGUCCACCGAGGAGGGAACGACGGAGUAUGGCCUGUGGAAGGAUUCUCUGUUUCUGGUAGACCUGCUGUGCUGUGGGGCCAUCCUCUUCCCCGUGGUGUGGUCAAUCAGGCACUUACAAGAAGCGUCAGCCACAGAUGGAAAAGCUGCUAUUAACUUAGCAAAGCUGAAACUUUUCAGACACUAUUACGUCUUGAUCGUAUGUUACAUAUACUUCACCAGGAUCAUUGCAUUUCUCCUCAAACUCGCCGUGCCGUUCCAGUGGAAGUGGCUGUACCAGCUCCUGGACGAAAUGGCCACGCUGGUGUUCUUUGUCCUAACGGGAUGUAAAUUCCGUCCGGCCUCAGACAACCCCUACCUGCAGCUCUCUCAGGAGGACGACCUGGAAAUGGAAUCAGUAUCUGCAACAUAAAAACUCGUGGAGGCCGCGACAGGGAGAGAGAAGGAGAGAGGCCGUCAUUGACCGUAGUAAUAACAGCUGGUGUGCAUUGAUUGGGUGCUUUGGAGAAUCUCGUCUUUCUCUGAUGACGGUUCUGAGAAGUAGUGACGACGUCAGGGGUGAUGGAGAAUAUGAAGAAAGUCAAGAAGGUGACCAAUGGGUCAGUGGAGACCCCAGGCGACUGGGAAGGCACCGCGUGAUGGAGCAGCCUGGCGGCGGGGACUGUCGAAGAGAACAUUUAAUUUAUUGAUAGUCCUAGUGGUGAGCGGGGGCGGUCGGCACCUCCCGACGGUGACACCACAGAGCACGUGGCCGGGAACAAAGCGCCACGGAAACCUAAUUUUUUACUCUCUUCUAUGGAAACUGGACCUGUGGCUGGUUAUAGGCAGCUAGAAAUCUCCUUCAGGAGGGAAUGGUUGUGGGGGGGCAGUGUAGCCAGGAGGAGGAUAAAAGGAAGACUCUGUUUUUAAUUUAUAUUUCUUUCUUUUUUUCAUUGGGAACUCUCCGGAAAUAGGUAGUCACGCCCCAGGUGUGUCACGGUAGAGACCUUGGGGGAGGGGGCAGGGGGGCGGCGGUGCGAGGCCGGAGCUGGUCACGGCUCGGGAGCAGGGUCGCAGGAGCUGAGCAGGGGCUGAGGAUACAGGGACAGAGAAGGGAAAGAGAACAUAUCGUCGCAGCUUUGGGGGACAAAAAGGAAUGAAGUUAGGUUAUUUUAGAAAGCAAAGCCCAAGCCCAAUUUAGUUAUACGGAGCCUGCCCCAGGAUUCCUGGCCCAGAGUGUCGCCCCAGACCUUGAUCCCAGAUUCUGAAAGUGACCAGGAACCAGCAGCUCUAGAGGCCCGGUGGUCGUCUUCCCAAAGGGGCUCUGUCGUCUGAGGGCUGAGUGUCACUGUUAGAGUCACGGCUCUGGGACCGUGGUGGGAAGUACUUUUCUUGAUUGAAGGGUAUUUAGCGUUGUCUGAUGGGUGGGCAGAAAUGUAUUUUUCAGCUCAAAAAGCAUCAUCCAGUAGGGUUUCCUCAAACAGCUGGCUCCUCUGACCGCCCAGAGCAGGGCCACCUCGCUUCCCUCUGUGCUUGUGUUCGCGUCUGUCUCGUGUCAUCAGAGCCCGGGGAGACAUGGGGAGGAAUCUUCCUUAAGGAGCAGCUGGGGGCAGAAAACGUAGUGUUUAAGCAAGUACUUAAAUACAACUAAGUCAUCAUCCUUAAAAAGCUUUUGCUGUAAACCGGGUAGGCUUUCUAACAGGAACGGAACAGACUCGUGCCUGUAUCCCCGGAGCGUGCAUGCGAAGAGCGCAGGUGUGGUGGAGCAGAGCUUUACCCUCAGGGACUGGCGAUGGCGACGGCGAGUUCUUCCUCAGACCCCGCAGAGGGCCCCUCCCGACUCCCAGAGCCUAGAGAUGGACGCAGGUAGCCGCUUCCUGGGGGGACCGGUGGUGCAGCUGGUAGCGAAGUCAUUUGGAUAACGGGACAAGCUCGGAACGUCCGCUGUGACGCAGGGAAGGAGGGCUUGGCAAUAAUUUCCCAACGUGGUUUUGGUCGCACGGGCCUGGGGCGGGAGGCCGAAACGCGGCCUCGUCGGGAAUGCUCCCAGGGUACCGGGACCCCUUGCCUGCCUGGGCCUCUCGGGGGUGGACAGCGGCCGUCUCCCGGGGUGGUUUUCUCACCCCUGGCUUGGGGGAGUCCAUCAGAAGCCGCAGGAUUUGGGGGUGGCACUCAGGAUCCCAGGCUUGGGCACCUGAGCAGAGUCCUCAGCGGUUGUUUUCCGUCUCCUGGGCUGCUUUCUCUUCUGGAUGAAGGGGCAGGAGAGUUUUCACGUGCUCACCUUAGUCCCCUCUGUGGUCUGUGAGGCUCUUCCUGCUCGAAGUUCUGUUGUGGCCAGGCCUGUGGUGCAAGGAGUCUCCUUCCUGGGCCGCUGCCGCUGCUGACCCUGCCACAGAUUAUAGGGAAGGGGCCAUGUGUUUCCCCACCUUCAGGAGUGAAGAAAUCUGCCCAAAGUAUUUACUUAAGGGCACUUUUCUCUUUUCUUUCCUUCCUUCCUUCCUUCCUGCCUUCCUGCCUUCCUUCCUUCCUUCCUUCCUUCCUUCCUUCCUUCCUUCCUCCUUCCUUCCUUCCUUCCUCCCUCCCUCCCUCCCUCCCUCCCUCCCUCCCUCCUUUCCUCCCUCCCUGCCUCCUUUUCUUUCUGUCUCUGUAGUCAGGUUGGGGCUACAGGACAGAAGAAGGAAGUUGCAGGGAGGACGGGAACGUUAAGACUUUGCUUUCGUGGCAUAAACACGGUUCCAGUGCUUCUGAAAUGUGUCUUGUGCUGUGGCCCAAACCCCCGUAGGCACUUCCCUCUGAGGGACGCAUCCGCUGUUUGUCCUGUGAGCAGAUGUUCUAGAGCAGGCCGUAGACUUCUUGGCAGGACCAAAAGUGCAACGAAAGCUUCCCCCUGGAAGGGUCCCCGUGGAAGCGAAGCAAUGAGGGAGCGAGGGAGGAGGAGAGCGGCCGUGGGCACCGCCGGCCUGACGGCCGUCCCGGAGCCAGCCGUGGCACCCGCCUUCCUCUGGCAGAGCCCGAGCCUCAGCCACCACGGCGGGCGUGAGCCAGCGCAUUGGGCUUCUCUGUGCGACACGUGUGCCUCUCGGCUCGUGCACACCACAGCUGAGUGGCCGCACGUGACCACCUGACCCCUCCAGAACCGGAAGGUGCAGGCGAGAUAAGGCAGUGAUUUAGGAAUAAAGGCUAACAAGUGGGUCGUCUGCCCGCAGCCCAUGUUGUGACUGGCAGGUGUGAAGUGAGGCCAGGGAUCAAGAAGAAUCAAAACCCCCGCCCAAGAUCGGGAAAACUGGUUCUCCCACAUUUUUACAAGUUAUUUGUGCUCUCCAUCCUGUUCUGUAAAAAUAUCCUCUCUUUGUCCGUCACGUAGUAGCUGUGGCCAGCGUUCAGCUCUGCCCCCGAGGGAAGGGGACCGACCGAUGGGUUCCAAGCCAGGCAGGUGCGCCGGCCCCUCCAGCAGCCCGGUAUUCACGGCUACGCGGGCUCCCAGGGACGCGGGGCUACAGCGGUGAAGCCCUUCGGUAUUCCAGGGAUCGGGCGGGAGGGACUGGGUGCACGUCGUAGAGUGAUCGGCAGUAUUUAUGGCUUUGUUUUGUGCUCCAGCUGCCUAUUUCUGCCUACGCGUGCUACCCGUGCUUCCUUUGAGAGCUCUGCUGUGGACGGGAAGUGCGGCCGGCCGCGAAAGGUCAGGAAGCAAGGGGGUCUGUUUUCCUCCAAUGAGAUGUGUGCGUUUUGCUAGAAAGCUACUACUUCGACGAUAAGAACAAUCAUCGAUCUCUUAGUCCUGGCUCUUAACAGUGGCCGGGGACUCCACCAGCCUCCUUGUCGGUUCCUUGCUGCUUUAAUUUCAGUAGCAGCGCACUUGAACCUGCCGAAUGCAACUCGGGUGAAUCGGAGGCCCAUUCUCCCCUUAGGAGGUGCUUCAUCUAGUGUAAAAAAUGGUUUCUCAGGUCAUAGCCUGAGUCCGUUCCGUUUUCUUCCAAGAAACCACUUUGGAGUAAAAUAUCCAGGUUUGGUUUGCUUUCGCCCGGACACAGCCGGCCAGCCAGCCCCAGCAGCGCGGUCUCGUCGUGAGUCUGCUCCGAGCGCCUGUCGAGGCGAGAUUUCUGCGCCUGCCUUACGAUCUCAUCGGGAUAUCUGCUCUGUCCUGUUCCACAGCUGCCCUCCUUCCUCCCCCUCCGCCUCCCCCUCCCCCUUCCCCUCCUCCCCACACCUCUCUUCCUCCCCCCUCAGCCCACGGCUAUCAAUUCCACAGAGGCUCCGUCUGGGAAUACGGGCCGAAGGCUUUGGUGCAUUGCAGCAUUUGCUCCCAGUAGCUGUGUGAAGGAUGUACUUCCUGAGCUAAGGAGAAUUUUGUCCAGAGCGUAGGUACUAUGCUGUGUUUUAUGCUUUGGACCCCUGCACUCAAAUGUGUUCUUAUUUAAUGCUGAGGAGUCUGUUACCAGGAGCCAGUCCUUACGGACCGAGAAGAGUGUGAAAGAUGCCUGUUUGAACUGCGAGUGGCGUUCUGGCUGUCUCCCACAUCCUGUGGCUUCUCUGAGGAAGGUCCUUAGCACAUUUGACGGUCCGAUGACGUGGUUGGUCCUGCUCCAUAGCGCCCGUGGAACAGCGGAACCAGUUAUGGCUCCUGCUCCCAAGGCGCCGAAUUCCACGGGAGGCAGACCCCAGCCCCCUCCUCGGCCCAUUCCCACACUCCAUGCUCCCCGCUUUGCUUCCCCCUGACCCCCCCCCCCCCGGCCUUCUCACAGACUGAGGGUGUGCUGAGUGCACGGCGCCCCUGGCCUCCUGCUUGUUCCUUCUGUUCAGGAUUCCGUAAACGAGUAGCUUCCGCAUGAAAGACGUUAGGCUUCGACUUGCUCCUUCUUGGUCUGUCGGGAAGGUAUUCAUCUGGAACAUACCAUAUGUUCCAAAAGAUCGCUCUUUACUCCAGGUUUCUCCAGGGUGUCUUGGGCUGGAAGUCUUUAAAAGAGACCCGCCUGAGUUGAUGCUAAUACUUGGCACGCCUGGAAUGUGGUUCCUGAUUGGCGUACUGAGCACUCCAGGGUCCGCAGGGCCCUUCUCUUAUAGCCCGGCGUUGCAGCUGUGCCCCGCUGUGGGGUCUGUGCUUGAAAAAUGCCUCUCGGUGGUUCUCUGCUAGGGUAUGGGACAUGUACAUCCCCUGAGGUACCGUGUGAGGGAAGCAGGCUGGCAAAGAGGGACCAGGUGUUCAGGGAGCGGGGAUCUGGUCGGGCUGCACCAGGGACUGUUGGAAUUCUGGGGGCAGGAAGUCUGCAGGCAGGCCAUCUGGGAAGGAGGAGUGCUGGACAAAGUCAGCAAGGGUCAAAGUGAGACAGAAAAGCUAACUCACUUCCAAAACAGUAAGCUGAUUUCGAAGCAAGCCUUGAGGUUUUGCGGUGGACAGCCAAGUCAGACGGGCGGGGGGCGGGGCAGAGAGUCAACCUUCUUAGCAUUUAAGACACUUAAUACAAAAGGAUCCCCAAAUCUUGUCCACGUGGGGGCGGUUCUUGACGCCCUAAGCAGCUUUUGCCCACUGUAAUUUGGAUUUGCCUGGUCACAUGACCUCCAAAGAAGUCAGACACAUCCAGUCCGGGAGUAAGUUUCAUUUGGGGGACAAAAUGUCUGUAAAUAUCGUUUGCUUUUCAGGUUAGAUUGGGAUGCAGGAGUUUGCAGUAUUUUUUUUUUUUUUUUUAACACUGCUGAUCACGGAAAAGUAUUUAUGUAAACAUGUAACGGGUGGGGCUUCCAAUCAGGGUGACGUCUGGGAUGGAUUCUCUUGCUGUGAUGCAAACAUAGUACAAUAAAGAUUCUCUGACGGAAA